AGUUAUGGGGCUUGGGUGGGUAUUUUCUUGAAAAUGUUUUCUACCAACCAAACUAACAUGAGAAACUAAGUAAAAAAUUCACUUAUUUUCCGCUACCCAAACGAACAUGAGAAAGUAAGUAGAAAUUCACUUAUUUUCCAAGAACACAUUUUUCAGGAAAGCAUUUUCCUUGGAAAACAUUUUCCUUCAUACCGAACACACCCUAAGUCGAAACUAGUUUUGUCUUGAAGCACACGAUCUCAAGUACUUGUUUGUCAUUCUAACGUGGAACUGAAAAAUUUGUAGAGGAUAACUGGAAUUCGUUGUUCUGGCAGCAGAUCAUGAUGUCUUCUUCCCAGUUUGUGUCCAUUUUAAUGGCUCAAGAACGUUUGAUGACCUGAAGGUUGGCACCUGCUUCUGCACAUAACAUUGUGACCCUCGAUUUUCAGCCAUUAGGUUGCUGAUUCAUGUUCUUUCUUAUUUUGAUUUGUUUGCAUACGAUUUUUCUUAUGUCUGUUUUAUGAUCAUUUUGGUACAUUUUGUCAAAGAAAUCUUGAGGUUGUGUGGAGAAUAGUUACAAUGUUGAGUGAGUGUUUUGUGAUUUAUGCAUAUGAUGUUUUCCAGGGUUACUUCCAAUAGGUUGUUAACCGUUGUCCCUAAGAGUUGGUUGAUAUGUUGAUUCAUUGUACUUUUAUAACCUGUAACAAUUUACUGGAAACUGAGUGUUAAAACAUUGCAACUAUUAAAGCAUCAUUACAAUGUCAGAUUUAUGCACUGAUAGCAUAGCAUGUUAGUUCCUCGUCGUUUAAAACUUAUGCUUCAGAUGAUAGAUUCCUCAAAUUUGCCAAGGGACUAGGAGAAUGCUCUAACAAUCCAUGAAAUCAUCGACAUGCGUACUGCAUAUGAUAACUCGAAACAAAUUCUGAAGAAAUUGUGAAAUAGAGAACGGAAUUUGCUUCUGAUUCUUCUCAGGGCAGCUCUAGACAAGAUUGAGACUAUGAAAGCCACAAAGCAUUAACUUGGCUGAAUCUCUUCUGAUUGGAUUAUUAUCUUACAUGUGUGAACAGAUAGUUUGCAAAUCGGAAGACAUUAAAGCCUAAAAAAGGGCAGUCUGGUGCACAAAGCAUCCCGUAUUAGCAGGGUCUGGGGAAGGGCGGCACUGCAAGGGAUGUGAUGUAGACAACCUACCCUAAUGCAAGCAUUAGUGGCUGCUUCUUGGCUCAAACCCGUGAUGAUUUUGCUGGUGAAAGGGAAGAUCCUUCUAGAAAAUUUAGUCUUCCAGAGCCAGAGGCAGCGCUACAAGAGCUAUUACGUAAAUUUUGAUUGUUGUUCCUUACAACAAUAAUCAGCUGAUGAAUUCUGUUCAUCAUUGCUCAGAUAAUGGGAAAUAACUCUUUAAUCCAUAAGUGAAGUAUGCUUUGUUCAUUGAGCGUAUUUGAUUCAGAGAUUAGCCACUCGGAUCCUUCCACCAAUAGUUCAGAAAGCUUCCUACUUUCCAGGGAAAACUAUUCUCUUUGCCAAGCUGCUCAAAGUUUGAACUAUUAAAGCUUCGAGUUGUAAAAGGCAGCCUACAGAUGCUGGGACCAGAUGGGUAGUUGAAGAAGCAUGGAAACCAUGCCCCAUACAUUUGGUUCCACUGUCCGUCUUCCGAUUCUGAUUUUGUGGAUGAUUCAAUAGAAGUUGCAAAAUCAUCAGUCAAUGAAAUCCCAGAAACUGAUAAAUGUGGAUGCAAGCUGGAGGCUUCUUCCGCGAUGGAACACUUAAAUGAUCCUAAAAUUAAGUGAGGAAGACGGAGAAGGCAGCUGAUAGCCAGUGUAUGAAGAAUAUGGAGGUUGAAAGGCAUUUUAUCUCGGAUAAAAAUGACAAUAAUGAUGCCUUUGGAAGGUUCAAAAUGGCACCUGAUGAUUGAUGGAGUCUGCAACCAAUUUUGUAGCUUGUAUAUUAUUGGCCAAUGGAAUUCGCUGCUAACUUCCAAUAUUUAAAGUUAUUUGUUUUACCUGCUUAAUGUAUAUGAUUCCAUUAUCACGCAAAACAGACAAGGAAAAUGAAUUAAUAUCACUGGGUUGUCGUUAGCAUAUUU